AUUGAACGCUGGCGGCAUGCCUUACACAUGCAAGUCGAACGGUAACGCGGGGCAACCUGGCGACGAGUGGCGAACGGGUGAGUAAUAUAUCGGAACGUGCCCAGUAGUGGGGGAUAGCCCGGCGAAAGCCGGAUUAAUACCGCAUACGACCUACGGGUGAAAGCGGGGGAUCGCAAGACCUCGCGCUAUUGGAGCGGCCGAUAUCAGAUUAGGUAGUUGGUGGGGUAAAGGCCUACCAAGGCAACGAUCUGUAGUUGGUCUGAGAGGACGACCAGCCACACUGGGACUGAGACACGGCCCAGACUCCUACGGGAGGCAGCAGUCGGGGAAUUUUGGACAAUGGGGGCAACCCUGAUCCAGCAAUGCCGCGUGAGUGAAGAAGGCCUCGGUUGUAAG
rnacentral:rRNA from 1 species